UACGGGGGGGGCAAGCGUUGUUCGGAAUUACUGGGCGUAAAGGGCUCGUAGGCGGCCAACUAAGUCAGACGUGAAAUCCCUCGGCUUAACCGGGGAACUGCGUCUGAUACUGGAUGGCUUGAGGUUGGGAGAGGGAUGCGGAAUUCCAGGUGUAGCGGUGAAAUGCGUAGAAUAUCUGGAGGAACACCGGUGGCGAAGGCGGCAUCCUGGACCAAUUCUGA
rnacentral:rRNA from 1 species